rnacentral:rRNA from 1 species
GGUAGGGUUACCCGCUGAACUUAAGCAUAUCAA